UACGUAGGGUGCAAGCGUUAAUCGGAAUUACUGGGCGUAAAGCGUGCGCAGGCGGUUAUGCAAGACAGAUGUGAAAUCCCCGGGCUUAACCUGGGAACUGCAUUUGUGACUGCAUAGCUGGAGUACGGUAGAGGGGGAUGGAAUUCCGCGUGUAGCAGUGAAAUGCGUAGAUAUGCGGAGGAACACCGAUGGCGUAGGCAGUCCCCUGGACCUGUACUGACGCUCAUGCACGAAAGCGUGGGGAGCAAACAGG
rnacentral:rRNA from 1 species